AGAGCGAACGCUGGCGGCAUGCUUAACACAUGCAAGUCGCACGGUCAGCAAUGGCAGUGGCGGACGGGUGAGUAACGCGUAGGUAUCUAUCCACGGGUGGGGGACAACGUCGGGAAACUGACGCUAAUACCGCAUGAUACCCGAGGGUCAAAGGCGCAAGUCGCCUGUGGAGGAGCCUGCGUACGAUUAGCUUGUUGGUGGGGUAAAGGCCUACCAAGGCGACGAUCGUUAGCUGGUCUGAGAGGAUGAUCAGCCACAUUGGGACUGAGACACGGCCCAAACUCCUACGGGAGGCAGCAGUGGGGAAUAUUGGACAAUGGGCGAAAGCCUGAUCCAGCAAUGCCGCGUGUGUGAAGAAGGUCUUCGGAUUGUAAAGCACGUUUCGGCGGGGACGAUGAUGACGGUACCCGCAGAAGAACGCCCCGGCUAACUUCGUGCCAGCAGCCGC
rnacentral:rRNA from 1 species